rnacentral:pre_miRNA from 1 species
UCUCUUAAACACAUGGAAGAGAGAAAAACUUAGGUGGGAUAGUGUGACCACGUCAAUCAUAAUGGAAAAACUAGGUUGUUCUAUCCUACUAUGCCUACACGAUGACGUGGUGGGACUGUCCCAUCUAAGUUUUUCUCUUUAGAAGGAUCA